CACGAGGGGGGCAAGCGUUGUUCGGAAUUAUUGGGCGUAAAGGGCGCGUAGGCGGUCUGAUAAGUCUGAUGUGAAAUCUCUGGGCUCAACCCAGAGUCUGCAUUAGAAACUGUCGGGCUUGAGUAUGGGAGAGGUGCGUGGAAUUUCCGGUGUAGCGGUGAAAUGCGUAGAUAUCGGAAGGAACACCUGUGGCGAAAGCGGCGCACUGGACCAAAACUGACGCUGAGGCGCGAAAGCUAGGGGAGCAAACAGG
rnacentral:rRNA from 1 species